GUGCUCACUUCGGCAGCACAUACACAAAAAUUGGAAUGAUGCAGAGAAGAUUAGCAUGGCCCCUGCACAAGGAUGUCACACAAAUUCGUGAAGUAUUCCAUAUUUUG
rnacentral:snRNA from 1 species